GUUAUUAACGACGAACGUGAAUUCUUUGAGCACGCGAUCUAUUUUCGUAGAUCAAUCGGAUAAUUUCCUCGUGCGUAGUGUAGGCACGGACUAAAAUAACCUCAAACGCAAAAAUAUCAAAGACUGCGAGUCCCUACAUCCGCCAUUAGACGUGAGUCGUCAUAAAAGUUAUCGCGCAUUGUUAGUUUGAUACGGCAUGCAAUUUAAAGACGACGAAAUUACGUACCUACGGCCCGAUACGUCUCCGGGUGAAUUUCCGUUUAAAAGCCGAUGUCGGACGAUAUCGAUGAUCCGGGGUAUAGGCGAAUAACGCGCGUGAAUCAACAGAAUCGGGAACGGGCGGUGAUCCACGCGAAAAUUAUGUGGCACCUCAUCCAGGCCUACUAGCGAAUACCGAGGCCAGAGCCGCGAACGUUGGCCGUCCACGCUAGAGAGGACGACUUUGUUUGUUCGCCACUGAACGGCACUCGUAUUAAAUAAAAGUAUCUGGUUUUCAAAGAUAAGUUCAUCUUUCUUUUCGUACUUUUCGAUGUCUCUUUUUAUAUAAACCUUGUGAGACAUAAUUUGAUGGUAAAGUUAGUAUAGUUCCAUACGUGAUCAUUGUAUUAACGUUUUUUCCUGCUCGUCAUCAUGUUUCAGGUAGAAGUAAAGAAAAAACACAAAAUGUACGCGGAUAAGACAAAUACAAAGCUCCCAGAAACCAAUAACACUAAAGCACGUGUCGAAUGCCAUAGAUUCCAUGAAUCAACAACAGUCUUCAGCUAAUAAUUGAAGCCGUGUGCGGACAAUUGCAGUCCCGAUACCCAAGAUACAACCUACAUCCGGAACCUACAUGAAAAGUGUUAUACUUAUUGAGAAAAGAUAUCAUCUUAAAUGGACCACCCUGCAUAGAAACGCCAUCUGUCAGGCCGAGAACGUAUCAGCCCCCUUUCGAAUAAUCUGCGGGUUCAACCAAAAUGACAUUUUUAUUUAUGAAUAUUGCGGUUUUUUCAUAUAUUAUUAAUACUUAGUAUGUGUAAUUGUCCUCUUUGGUUAUACUUUUCAUAUAAAUUUUGCAAAUAAAUAUGUCCAGUUUGUUUUCCUACAUAUUUCUGAACUUCCUCUUUGUGUAGUGAAUAAGAAUUUGUCUCGGCUUAAAACAACACUUUGA